GCCGAGGUCGCAUAACCCGGUAGUGCGCUAGUCUCGAAAACUAGUCCCGCAAGGGAUUGCAGGUUCAAAUCCUGCCCUCGGCG
rnacentral:tRNA from 1 species